rnacentral:rRNA from 1 species
AACGAACGCUGGCGGCAUGCCUAACACAUGCAAGUCGAGCGAGACCUUCGGGUCUAGUGGCGCACGGGUGCGUCACGCGUGGGAACCUGCCCUUAGGUUCGGAAUAACUCCCCGAAAGGGGUGCUAAUACCGGAUAAUGUCUUCGGACCAAAGAUUUAUCGCCUUUGGAUGGGCCCGCGUUGGAUUAGCUAGUUGGUAGGGUAAAAGCCUAACAAGGCGAGGAUCCAUAGCUGGUCUGAGAGGAUGAUCAGCGACACUGGGACUGAGACACGGCCCAGACUCCUACGGGAGGCAGCAGUGGGGAAUAUUGGACAAUGGGCGAAAGCCUGAUCCAGCAAUGACGCGUGAGUGAUGAAGUCCUUAGGGUUGUAAAGCUCUUUUACCCGGGAUGAUAAUGACAGUACCGGGAGAAUAAGCUCCGGCUAACUCCGUG